rnacentral:lncRNA from 1 species
CUCACUCAAGACCUGAGGAGAAGCAUGUCAUAACCAGGUCAUAAAGCCAGCUGGUCACAGUGCAGCCACUCUCAGGAGGAAGAGGCAGAUACAAAUUGACUACUGGUACCCACCCAGCUCAACUUCUUCUUAUGCAAUCUCAGGGUGAAACAUGUGGAAUGAUGAGCUGAUAUCUAGCAACUAUAAGCAGCAGUAGUAUUGGAAGAGAUGAUAUGCUCAGGAUCCUUGAGGAGGCAUUGUUUGCUCUUGCUUGCCUGCCAUUUUACCUCAUGCAUCUAAUCAAAAUUGAGACUAUACUUUCAUGUUAUAACCAGCUUAUGUGAUCCACAUCAGUCAUAAUCUUCACGCUGAUUCUAUCAUGCAGGACAUCGG